rnacentral:lncRNA from 1 species
GUUUUACGUAUGGUCUAGGAAACCCUAGUUAUUUUUGUCCACAGGUCCAAAUGUCCUCGUUCCACUUUAAAGUCUUUUAUACGUUCUACUCAUCAUUUGUCGAGCUUCUUUGAUUGCACCUAAUUGUUUGUGAUAAAUGAGUGGUAAUAUUCUUUUCAUUUAAUUUUAGGUUUUCUCAGUGACUAAAGAUAAUAUUCGGAAGGAUAUUUUGCACGUUGUUGUGCGUAAAUAGGUGAGUGUUCUAUAUACGUUUUGUUUCUAUGACUAUGUGGAUUGUUGGGUCUAUGUGAUUAUUUGUGACUAUUUGAUUAAAUGUUACUUGUUUUCUAUGAUUUCUAAAAUGAACUUUUUCUAGGUGAGUGU